rnacentral:lncRNA from 10 species
GUCACAGUAGCCAUAGGAAACUAAUACAAACAUUGACGUCAUUCAAGACAUACAGCUGUACAUUUCAUUUGAUUGGUUGAACUAUUGGGGUUAAUAUUUAUUCCUACACCAAGUAUCUAAGUUUACUUCAUUGCUGUCAAAAUGCAAACUACUGUUGGCUUAGAUUUUAUUGAUGACUUGAGAAAAUGUUAUAUAUGUUCAUCUAUAAGGAAACCACUAAGUUAAAAUUCAGAAUUAAAAAUCAGAUAGAGUGGCUAGUCAUCUUACUAAAGGUUGUUUUGUUUAGGCAAAUUUGCUGCAUGAGUCAUAAAUAUCAUGGAGCCACACUAAAACAUUUCAAAAGUGAGUCAACUUACAAAACUGCAAUUUGCUUCCAAACUCUUCAAGGACAUCUAUUGCAUAAAGAAAUCAAGCAAGGAAGGCCAGAAUAGAAUUCUGGUAUAUCUACACUUCAAACAAGUUUACAAUGGAAGAAUGGCCUCCUCAAAACCCCAAACAGCUGGAAUCGGGCCAAUUAGUAGGAUUAUUGCAAAGACCAGACAUUUAUCAGGACCCUUUUGCAGAAACACAUGUGGGGCUGUAAGCGAUGCAUUUCCUGGCUUCUGACAUGAGCUAAACAUCUGUUCAAGGCAAGGCUGUAAUGAAACUGUCCCAAGGCAUCUGAGAGUGGAGAGUGAUUGGACUCGGGUGAAGACUCCAAGAUGGCGAUCGCCACCUCGGAUACCCUGACUCAGCAUUUCCGGGUUCACCUUUCCUGUUCCCGCCAACCCGACUAACGCGCAUGCCCACUAGGGCGUGUCACACAGAGAAGUGCGAAACUCAACCGACCCCGCCCCUACCCCGCCCACUCCUCACCCAGCAUCCAUAAAAGCGUGCUGCCCCUUUGGCACAGCGCGACUUCCCUGGCCCUCCCCCUGCGGACCAGUGAACCUCGCCCGAGAGCUCAAUAAAGAAGAUUUUUGCCCUCUUUG